UACAGAGGGUGCAAGCGUUAAUCGGAUUUACUGGGCGUAAAGGGCGCGUAGGUGGUUGCGUAAGUGAGUUGUGAAAUCCCCGGGCUUAACCUGGGAACUGCAACUUAUACUGCGUAGCUGGAGUGCAAUAGAGGGUAGUGGAAUUUCCGGUGUAGCGGUGAAAUGCGUAGAUAUCGGAAGGAACACCAGUGGCGAAGGCGGCUACCUGGAUUGACACUGACACUGAGGCGCGAGAGCGUGGGGAGCAAACAGG
rnacentral:rRNA from 1 species